CCGUGCUGCUUCUCCUCUCCCACCGCCCAGCCCUGCGGAACGAUACGUGGUAUUGCUUCCUCACCGCACUUCGGUUUUUCUGCUGAGAAAACCUGCAGCUUUGGAUUUGCACCUGUCAUCCCAGAUUCCUAUCAGUCCUUCAGUACUCCUCGGGGCUGCACAGCUGAGAUGAGUGGAUGUGCUGGCUGGGAGGAUGCCUUGCCUGCAAUACCUGGUGGAAGGUAUGGCAAUCUCUCUCAGGCACCCAUUAAUCCAAAUGCCACAUUGUCUCCUGAGCACCUGGCCAGCCAAACAAAUUGUUUAAUUGUUCAAAUGUGCUCUUCAAACCUGAUCUAGAACUUUCCACACCUCCUUCAGUCUGCCUUUUUGUUGCAGAGUUCAAGAAGUGACAUGCAGCUGCACAGCCACCGCUCCUCUGAAUUCUCCUGCCCUUCUCAGUAUUUAGCAGGCAUUGUGCAAGCUGUGAAUUCGUUUCUGUGAUAAGACCUUGAGAACACAUUGGGCCUGUCUCCCUUUCUGGAAUUCAGAGGCUGCUUCAAAGAUGUAAAGAGCUGUUUGACA